UACGUAGGUGGCGAGCGUUGUCCGGAAUUACUGGGCGUAAAGAGCGCGCAGGCGGCUGGUCAAGUCCGACGUGAAAUCUCCCGGCUUAACUGGGAAAUUGCAUCGGAAACUGAUCGGCUUGAAGGUGGGAGAGGGUAGCGGAAUUCCCGGUGUAGUGGUGAAAUGCGUAGAUAUCGGGAGGAACACCAGUGGCGAAGGCGGCUAUCUGGACGACAACUGACGCUGAGGCGCGAAAGCGUGGGGAUCGAACAGG
rnacentral:rRNA from 1 species